GACGAACGCUGGCGGCAUGCCUAAUACAUGCAAGUCGAGCGAACAGAUGAAGUGCUUGCACUUCCGACGUUAGCGGCGAACGGGUGAGUAACACGUAAGGAAUCUACCUAUAAGCGGGGGAUAACAUUCGGAAACGGGUGCUAAUACCGCAUAAUAUCCUCUUCCGCAUGGAAGAAGAUUGAAAGACGGCUCUGCUGUCACUUAUAGAUGACCUUGCGGUGCAUUAGUUAGUUGGUGGGGUAACGGCCUACCAAGACGAUGAUGCAUAGCCGACCUGAGAGGGUGAUCGGCCACAUUGGGACUGAGACACGGCCCAAACUCCUACGGGAGGCAGCAGUAGGGAAUCUUCCGCAAUGGGCGAAAGCCUGACGGAGCAAUGCCGCGUGAGUGAAGAAGGCCUUCGGGUCGUAAAACUCUGUUAUAAGAGAAGAACAAAUUGUAGAGUAACUGCUACAGUCUUGACGGUAUCUUAUCAGAAAGCCACGGCUAACUACGUGCCAGCAGCCGCCGUAA
rnacentral:rRNA from 1 species